AAUGUAAUCAUGUAUU
rnacentral:misc_RNA from 1 species